AGGGCUCAAUGUCCUACUUCCCUCUUGCAGCCAAGUAGCUGUGAGGAGGAGAGAAGAGGAGGAAGCGCCAGGGAGCCCAGAGCCACCAGACAGUGACGCCACAGAGCCACAGCCAUCACACCCGCACAGACACACACACACCGUCCUCUGCCGUUCAGGCCCGAGAGUCCCGUGAGGACUGGCGUCCCUACUACCGGCCUCCACGCUGUGAGCGCUUCCACUGCCACCCCUCCUGGUUCACGUCGGGCUCCGAAUUGACUCGCUUCACAGGAUUCCCGCAUCCUGUGCUAACACAUCCACAAAUGAGCUCCACUCACCUUGCGAAGAGGGAGAACCGCGCGAAAACGGAAUGGAAGCCGAAGAUCUGGAGUGACCGCUGCCCUCUGGGAAGUGUCGCUCCAACCUGAACAUCUCCGGGCGCCGCGGCUCGUCAGAAAGGCCGCCGAAGCGCGGAAGUCCCGGUGGAAACGGCAGCGCGAGAACCGCCCGGAGCCCGGGCCCGAGCGCAGGUGUCUCCGCCAGGAGCGCGACGCGAGGGCGCGUGCGCGGGCACGGAGCCUGCGCGGAGGCCGCUGGUGCGCGUGCUCGGUCCAGAGGCGCCGCUGCGCCGGGGAGGCAGAGCAGCGUGGCCUGGCGCCGGCUCCGAGCGUCCGGCCUGUGCGCGCAGAGCCGCGCGGGAGGGUCGGCGGGGCGGCCCCGGGGCGAGAGCGCGCACGGCGGGUGUGAGCUCUGAGGGCGGGGCCCCGGGCGAGUCCCCUCAGGCGGCUGCAGCCUGGGGACAGCACGUGGGGCAAGUAACUCCUGAUACCGCCUGGGAUGAGCUGGUUUAUUCAGUGUCUGUUAGCUGCGUUUAAAAGGUGUGAAGGAGUGAAGUAAUGCAUAUUUACGUAAUUCUCUAGGCUAAGCUAUAAUAGUCAAAAUGGAAUGAAUAAUUAAAUGUAAAAGCGAUCUGGAGAUACAUCUGCAUAUGUUUUUGUAAUAUUAAGUUAGGGACAGAUUUUCCAACCAUAACUGAAGAGAGAAAUGCUAAAGGAAUACUGAGAUUUGACUUGAUAAUUAUGUGUAAACAUCUGAAUCAUCUAAAUGACAAUCAAUUAAUGAAAUAAAAAUUGAUGCAAGACAAAAAUUCAAUAACUUAACACAUAUAAUGAACAGACAGAUAAUCUCAAGGCACUGUGUUUUUGUCGCUCAAAAUAAUGGUCACUAGUCUAAGAGGAGAGUAGCAAUAACUAUAGAAAUAUAAAUUAUAUAUGCAAAUUAUCA
ensembl:lncRNA